UACGUAGGGUGCAAGCGUUAAUCGGAAUUACUGGGCGUAAAGCGUGCGCAGGCGGUGAUGUAAGACAGAUGUGAAAUCCCCGGGCUCAACCUGGGAACUGCAUUUGUGACUGCAUCGCUGGAGUACGGCAGAGGGGGAUGGAAUUCCGCGUGUAGCAGUGAAAUGCGUAGAGAUGUGGAAGAACACCGAUGGCGAAGGCAGCCCCCUGGGAUAACACUGACGCUCAGGCUCGAAAGCGUGGGGAGCAAACAGG
rnacentral:rRNA from 1 species